GACGAACGCUGGCGGCGUGCCUAAUACAUGCAAGUCGAGCGAGCGAAACUAACAGAUUUACUUCGGUAAUGACGUUAGGAAAGCGAGCGGCGGAUGGGUGAGUAACACGUGGGGAACCUGCCCCAUAGUCUGGGAUACCACUUGGAAACAGGUGCUAAUACCGGAUAAGAAAGCAGAUCGCAUGAUCAGCUUUUAAAAGGCGGCGUAAGCUGUCGCUAUGGGAUGGCCCCGCGGUGCAUUAGCUAGUUGGUAAGGUAAAGGCUUACCAAGGCGAUGAUGCAUAGCCGACUUGAGAGACUGAUCGGCCACAUUGGGACUGAGACACGGCCCAAACUCCUACGGGAGGCAGCAGUAGGGAAUCUUCCACAAUGGACGCAAGUCUGAUGGAGCAACGCCGCGUGAGUGAAGAAGGUUUUCGGAUCGUAAAGCUCUGUUGUUGGUGAAGAAGGAUAGAGGUAGUAACUGGCCUUUAUUUGACGGUAAUCAACCAGAAAGUCACGGCUAACUACGUG
rnacentral:rRNA from 1 species